rnacentral:rRNA from 1 species
UGGGGAAUAUUGCGCAAUGGGCGAAAGCCUGACGCAGCGACGCCGCGUGGGGGAUGAAGCUUCUCGGAGUGUAAACCCCUUUCGACCCGGACGCGGUACGGGUAUAAGAAGCCCCGGCUAACUACGUGCCGCAGCCGCGGUAAUUCCGGUUAUCCUACGG